UUAAAUACAGCCUUUUCAUCUUAAAAAUUACAUUAAGUUUCUGGAAUUCUGAUAUACCCAAUUCCAAUUCUGGAGGCUGGCAAGUUCAAGAUCAAGGUGCCAGAAGAUUUGGUGUUUGGAUGGUCAUUUUCUGCUGCUAUGGCCCAGUUUGUGCCUUCAAGGACUGACUGUGUAAAAAAGAGCCCAGAAACUCUUUGAACUGACUUACAGUAGCUUCUUCAGCAGUCAGCUGUAACGAUGGCUGGAGCACCUGGUACCUGAGUGAGGGCCAAGAAUGGGCUCUGCAUGUGCCCUCCCUCAACAAUUGCCCACCACCCAUUCUCACACAAAUGCAGUGGGGGAUGAACCUGUAGGGAUGGGUAAUCAGCCUGAAAGGAACAAUUUUGCAUAUGUGUAAAAUCUGAAAAAAUAAAUUAUUAUUCAUGGG
ensembl:lncRNA novel transcript